rnacentral:lncRNA from 1 species
UUAAUCCUCCCCCUCCAAGAACAACCACCAUCGUUGAUUGAUUUGAAAAGGAACCCGUGUUGGGUUUUGAGCAUUCUAACACUUCCUAAGUGUACAUGCAACCCUAAAUACCUUGGAUCUAUGUUUUCUCUAUUAUACAUGCAAAUAAGAACAUCCAAGGUAUUAUCCUAAUCUAGCAUACAAAAACUAUGAAUGUAACAAGAUAGAAUACAUACCUUUUGAUGUAGCUUGAAAGCCUCAAGUGGAAUCACAAAUCACCAAGACACCUUGGAAUACUUUAGAGAAUAUGAUUACUUGGUUCUCUCUAGUGAAAUUGGCUAGCCCUCAUAGUGUAUCCACACACUAGUGCCUAUUUCACCAACCAAAGACAUCUUUAUAUAGUAUGGAGGAUUAGGGUUAAACCCUAAUACCCAUGACCUUUCAUUUCCUAGGAUCCAUGGGUUAAACACUCCAUGGACUAUCCAUGAAAGCUUAGCCCAACCUAAAUGAACUUGGCCCAUUCCAUAUAUAUAAGAGUCCAUAUUUAAUUAGUUCCUUUUGAUCACUUAAUUAAUUAUAAAUUAAUUCUUGAUCAAUACUAAUUAAAUAAUAUGAUUCCAUAUUAAUAUAUUAGAACUUAUAAUAUAUUAAUAUUAAUCAUAAACAUACUAUUCUCAAAAGAUUAUCCAUAUAAAUUGUGUCGGUGAAGUGCAACCCAAAUGGACCAUGCCGGGUCGGGUCAAGUACAUACCAAAUAUAGUUAUGGACUUAGACAUUAAUCCAACAGUCUCCCACUUGGAUAAGUCUAAAACUAUUAUUGCGUAUGACUUCAAACCUAACUGGCAAUCGUAGCUCUUAAAGCUGCUGUCGAACUCUGAUCUUGUCAACGAACUUGUCCAUUAGAUAAGGGAUCAUAUAUUCCUCCAUUCUAGAUAUCAUAUGGACUGAGACAUGGAUUAUAAUCAUUCUCUCUGUCCAUUUGUUGUUUCCCGAUUUCCGAUUUAUGACGACUGACUAAUUGAACAAAUCAAAUCAGUCCUGGCCCGGCCGAGCACUUCCAUUUGUCAUCAUCAAAUCAUCGAGGGGCCCACAGAUAUCGCUUUUAUCCCGAAGGUAAAAGGAAUGGAUAAACUUCGACUCAUAUGGCUUGUUCUACUACUUGUUGAAUCAUACACAAAGGCACGUUUUAUAGCACCGAGUUACCAAAUGCGUUUUCGUGCAAUCAAUGUACAACCAACUCAUAGUAACAACUCAUAUCUCUAGGUUUGAAGAAUAUAAGAUAUUAUCGUCUCAUGAUCACUCGUGAUAAAAUCCAUGAAGUGAUUCCAAUGAGCGCGGGUUGAAUCCAAUACUCAGAACUUAUGAGCACUCAUGAGUGUUGUAGCCCUUUGUCCAACACCUUAGACCUCUACAAGCCAACCCAUGACAGUCUUAAUUCAUAUCUACUUCCAACAUAUGACCGACUGUGGAUGGUUUGAAUAACUUAGUCAUUCCGGAAGAAUAACCUAGUUUAUUCGGGAAGUCAAAACAUGCAAAGUGAAACACAAUAAUAAUUGAAUCCAAUAUGGUAUCAAAUCUUUGAACAUAAAUAAAACACCUUUUAUUUAUCACCAUAUGAUUACACAUUAUUCAUUGUAUACUGUUUCAGCUAUCAACUUUAUUCUUGAAUUUAAAACAAUAGUUGUCCCAUGCUCCAAGCAUGUACACUAUGUUUUCUUAAACACUAGUCAUGCCACACACCAAGUAUGCAUACUAUGUUUGUCUAUGAUCUUUACUUUGUGAACUAGAUCAAUUGAACAUAACUUCAAUGAUUCUCUUUUCACACUCCCAAAUCCUUACUGCAAAUGCAAGAAUUCCAAAUUCAUGCCAUUUACUGAAAUCUGUUAGAUUCUAAACUUAUAUGCAUUGAUCCUCUUGUAAUGAUUAUGCACAAAGUCAGAAAGACUUGACAACAAUCAUUACAGAGUAUUCCAAAGGAGAUCAGCUCCUUGGAAACAUCCUUCUUGCAUUAAGUUUCCUAAUCUUAAACAGAUUGAAAAUUCUAACUUUGAAACAUUUCCAGAUUCCAUUUUGACUAUCACUUCUGAACAAGAGUUGCCUCCUUACAGAUUAUGUCAAUAUGGUCCUUCCAGAAUUAUCACUAUACUUCCAACUGUCCUUGAGCAACCAAUCUUUGGUAAACCUUAGAUUGUCCUCGACAAUUGUUUAAUCCUUUUAGUCAUAUCCAGUUCUAAACCUUUUCCCUUCUUAAUGCCCCAGGCAUUUGGAAAAUUUUAGAACGGAUGAAUAUAGCACAUGUAAUCGAUCCUAUAUCCGAAGCAUAUGGGACACGAUUCAUGAUGUCUUACAUAAAGACUAAACCAGUCUUUUGCUAUAAUAUUUCCAUUUCAAUUUGCCAAGUUCUCAUAAUUCAGAUUAUGAAAAGGGAUGCCGUAAUCAUAAUCGAAUUUUAGAACGCAAAUAAUGGACCCAUAUACAGAAUUUCCUUAUGUUGAGCCAUUCCAACAUGAAAUUCAUAUAUAUCCUUGACUAAAUGAUUAAAACCUCACGAUCUAAGCUUAUAGAUUUGAGAUGAAGUAUAAUUUCCUCUCCCUUAAUUAUAGCAAAACAACUUUUUCCCAAUUGAAACUUUUGUUUUCUAUAAUUAACAUUGCUAACUUGCAAUACUUAUCAUAAUUAUCAUGCUCCCACUAACAUGAUGAUUAUUAGCAUAACACUUAUGCUCCCACUAGCUUUGACAUGUACUCAGAAAUCAGCUGGACUUCUAGAAAUCAAUACUUCAUUGACUUUCUUACCAAAGUUCAGAUUUCUGAUGCUAGAUUGUUUUGAUAAAACUUUAUCAAAAUCAUACACCUUCCCUUAGAUAGCACACUUGUGUGUCUAAACAAUUAUGAAGAGGUAUGCCGUAAUCAUAAUGGUUAGACCUUUUUGCCACUUCUCACAAGUCCAGGUUAGUGUGCCGGUUAACCACACGCGCUCCACUAACGACUUUGAGAAUGCAAAUAUCACAAUUGCUAUCUAGAUAAAAUCUACUUAGUGAAAGUGUUUCCUCACCAUCAUUUUCAUGAAUCGGAGAGAAACCUUAUGACACUUAGAUUUAUAUGGUGUAUGAGUUCCUACCCAUAUGAAUUUGUCAAACCAUAAUCACAAGACAAAGAUAAUGACAAAUCCAAAACCAUAUGGAUUGAACUCAAUCUUAACUUCUUGCCACCUGGCAGCUCAAGGGCCUGCCAUUGCUUCCAAGUUGUUAUGCAACAAACUGAGAACUCUAAGAACUCAUAUGCAAAGCCAACUUUAACUGGAAUGGGCACAGAUAUGUCAACACGAUAGGUUAUAAACCUCAAGUCGUGUGCUAGUGAAGAACUUCAGGUUUUAUUCUUGAUUAGUUCUUGAGACUUUCAAGACCUUUAAGACUCCCACUGUCCUCUUGACAUAUAAGACUCCCUUGUCAAACAUCCAAGAGAUAGUGCGGAUUCUAAUCAAGAAAAACACUUUACCCAAUUGGCCUAAGUUGGUCUUUGUUUUAUCCAAAACAUCACAACUUACCAAUUUCAAAUGUACAAGAGUAGAAAACUUUUACUCUUACAUUUGACAAGUGUUUUAAACCUUCUUUAAGACAUGUCACUCAAAUGACAAUCUUGGAGUAUGACUCUAAGACUUGUAUUGGAACGAAGUAUGACUCAUCUUCUUGAUUUAACCAUUUCAACAAUUCAAGUUCCUCUUCUUAGUCAUAAGAAUGCACUAAGAUUUCCUUAGAGAACUAAUUUUGAUAUGGUUUCUUAAUCAUUAAGAUGAUCACAAAACUGAUACUAAAGUACUCUCCCAUCUUUUCAGAUUUGAGAAACUUUUAUCCUUCUGCCUUAUUUGAUUCUUCUUAUCGAUCUUUAGUGGUGGACUUAAUCAGUGCACAAGAAUGUGUACUCGAUCCCUAAGUCCUUUACUUGACUCACACAUCCAUGUGAACAAGUAAUUAGUCUUAAUUUUCCAAAACUUGAAAGUUCUCAUUCAUCAUGCUAUACAACUUGCAUGAUUCCAAGUUCCGGUCCAAUUGAAACUUGGGUGAUGAGAAUCUUUCCUUAUUUGGUAAAUUUAGACAUUACCACAAAUGAAAGAAUCAAUUUCAUACUUCCACUCUUGCUACUAAUGGAAUCUUAUAAGCAACAAAAAUUUCCACAGAUGCCAUUGUAAGGAUAUUUUAAAAUAAAUAAAAUCAAAAAUUUCCUUUUAUUUUAAAACUUUGCGGAAAAACUAUCCUUACAAUCCAUAUGAAAACUUGUUGUUAUCUAUUCCUAAGCAAUAUCUCAUAACUCCUAAGAAGUAGCUCAAGAAUCCGAUUUUUCAAACUAUGCGAUAGAAAUCCAUCUAUGCGAUCAGAUUCAGCAUAUUCUUCCUUUAAGUUUCUUCACUUUCCUUUGAUUCUUAAACCAUCACCAUGCGACCCGGUCACAUCAUGUAUCAAGAAUCUCAGAAUAGAAACUUAACAGAGUUAGAUAGUGGAUUUUACCUGAAGUAGAGUCAAACUUAUUGACUUUAACAUCCUUAGGUAAAUUUGGCAGCUUCGCAACCAAUGCCCUUUCUUUGGCAAUACAAACAUAUGGACCCUUUGAUAAUGGUACACAGGACUAUCACAGACUUAGCUUUUCUCUUUACCAUUUGGUCAACCGAGUUGACUAUAGCCGAUCCCUUUCCAUUGGGAAGAGAAUGCUUUACUGGAUAUCCAAUGUCAUCAUUGUCAAUGUCCAUAAAGUUUUAGGAAGUUGAUCUUAACAAAUAGAUAAGAUCAUUAAGGGUCUUGUCAUAGUCUUUUUCAUAGGUGUUCCAAAAGAACUCACUAUGUGACUUAGAAAGUAGUUGAACCACCAACUUUCUCAAGACUUUGACACCCAACUCUCCCGGCUUGUCAAUAUGUGACUACAUCUCCAAGAUGUGACCACACCUAGACCUUGCCUUGCCAAAAGGGCCUGAGUGACCUUAAACUUUUCAAGAACUUGUGGGUUAGGGAGAAUAAUUUGAAGAGGUGAAGAAGUAUGAUAUCCAUGGGACAUCAUCUUCAUUAGGAAACCUUGUUUCAAGAGAUUUGGGAAGAUCAUAGGUGUCUAAACCAGACAUCUUUUGGGAGAUAUUCAAGAUAGUUGAUUUAAAGUCCUUAAUAUGACACCCAAUAUGAAAUAUUAAGGCUAGGACCCAACAAACUAUUUUAUAACUUAGAAGAGGUAUGCCGUAAUCCAAGCUAUAAAAUAUUUGAAGGUAGGUGAAUGACGAUUCACCAAUUUCCACCAAGAUAAACGAAAUGUAUUAUUAGGUUUUAAUUGGUUUUGAAACUCCUAGAUCUUUGAGAUUCAUUGAACUUUUCAAAGGCAUGUUUCAAUCUCGAGUGUGCCCUUCAGGUUUUGUGACUGGGAUGCCGAGGAUCACAAAACAAGGUGUGAAGUAACCAUGCAAAUCACUUGGUACCCUUAAUAAAUUACCCCUCAAUCGAUGUGCCGGUUAACCACACACGCUCCAUCGAUACUAUGAUAAAUAUUAAGUCACCCUUUACCUACCUUGUUAAGUCCAAGUUAGUGUGCCGGUUAACCACACACGCUCCACUAACGACUUAGACAAAGUGUAAAGUGUAAUUUCAUGGAUUAGCACCUUAUUCACAUUUUUCCUAAGUAACUAAGAUUGGGUAUUAUUAAGAGUUUAGUUACUUAGUAUUAUCAUUAAUACUUUUAAUGAAGGGAGAAUUCUAGUCCUGUCAAACCCGUUCGGCUAACGACCCUCCACCAGUCAAGCAAGCGGUGGGUGAGAGUGGACACCCAUUAAGUUGCCAUUUUAUAGGCAACAACCUUAUACCCACCUUAUAGACCGGCUUCGUGAAUGAGGCGUACUAGCGGUAAGACUGACUUUACUCUUAUACAUAUAUAUAUUAUUAACUUAUAAUAUUAUAAAGUAUAAGGGUUGAAUUUUAACUUUUAAAAUUCUAAGGGCUAACUUGGAAUUAAAGUAUUCAUAAGUGAAAACUUUACAAAUUCCAAAACUUGAGGGCAAGUUUUGAAACUAUUCAAAACUAAUUAAUUCCAUAACUUAUGUGUUUAAAGUAGUUUUAAUCCAAAAACUCUUCAAGUUCCAUAACUUGAGGACAAGUUAUGGAAGACUUUAAACUAAUAAAAGAAUUAACUUUUCUUUAUUUUAUAACUUAUGGAAUUAAUUAAGGUUACACUUUUUUUUUUUUUAUUUUAUUUUAUUAAAUGAAGAGACUCUUGGUCCUCCAUAACUUGAGGACAAGUUAUGGAGUCAUAAAACCAUUUAAUUAGAACUAGACUCUUCAUUUUUGUAACCUUUGCCAAUUUUUAUGAGUUUUAUGAUUCUUAAAUGUGACUUUUCAUAUAACUUGAGGACAAGUUACAAAAACACAUUUUAGAAUCAAUUCUUAGAUUAAUUUGGAUUAAAACCAACUAUCACAUAAUUUUAUUCAUUAAUCUAAAUUCACUCAUAAAACAAGGUAACACAAAAAACUUUUGGUGAUCCAUAACUUAUUCUUAAGUUAUGGAAUCCUUUAAAACAUUAACACCAAAUUUUGUAACUCCAAAAAAACUUUGAAUCAAUUUUUUUUUUAAAACCUUUUCAUAUCCAUAACUUAUGGAGGUUUCAAAAAAUAAAACUCUUUAGAUCAAACUUUUAAAACUAAUAAAAUAAUCAUAUUAUUUUAUCUUUUAUUAAAUUUGACCUAAUUCAACUCAUAAAGCAAAUUAUUCAAAUUUUACAAAUAAUUAGUUUUUCACAAGAACAAGUAAUUAUCUUAAAAUUUGACAAACUUCAUGUUUUUUUUUUUUUUUUUUUUCAACUUUGAAAAUAAAAUAUUUGCAUCAAUAUAACAGAAAACAACCCGUGGCUCUGAUACCACUGUUGGGUUUUGAGCAUUCUAACACUUCCUAAGUGUACAUGCAACCCUAAAUACCUUGGAUCUAUGUUUUCUCUAUUAUACAUGCAAAUAAGAACAUCCAAGGUAUUAUCCUAAUCUAGCAUACAAAAACUAUGAAUGUAACAAGAUAGAAUACAUACCUUUUGAUGUAGCUUGAUGUCUUUAAGCUUUAAGAGCUUAGCCCCAAUAGUGUGGAAGCCUCAAGUGGAAUCACAAAUCACCAAGACACCUUGGAAUACUUUAGAGAAUAUGAUUACUUGGUUCUCUCUAGUGAA